rnacentral:lncRNA from 10 species
GAGUCCCAGUUACUUCAUGCAAUGAAAAUCCCUCAGCUUAAGGCUCUUCCCUGAGGAUGACCAUGGCACUUCCAGCUGCAGGUCUGGGGUGGCUGCUCAUCUCUUGAACCACUGUCCUCCCAGGUACUGUUUUUCUCACUUCAGCUUUCAAGUCACCCAGCCAACAAAUGUUGAGCACAGAAGGAAUAACAAUUAUAGCAGCUGAGACUACUCGGACUCUAUCAGAUGGGAGGAUACAUUUCUUUUCCAAGGUUAUUGUGAGGAUCAGGUGAGGUUUGCACAUACUCUUGCUUCGUGGACAGACUGAGUCUACAGAGCUGUGUUUAAACUCUGGCCCCUCAACACACUGUAUGGCUUUGGGCAAUAACUAACCUUACCUACCUGUAAAACGGAGAUAACAGAACCUCAAGGUGCUGCUGUGAAGGUUACAUGAAGCGAGACAUGUGACGUGCUUGGCAUGUGGUAAUGACUUUGUAAACACAAGCUGCAAUUAUGUGUGUAGAAAACCUUGGAGACAGAAGAUGCAGUAAUGAAGACUUUCAUGAAAAUGAGUCAGGUGUUAAAAUAACUUAAUGUAUGUUUGGUUCUCUUGGUAAUUCUACUCCACCCCCACCCCAUUCUAUCAUUGUCUGUCUUUCUAGUUCUCUCAGUUGAAAAGACUCCACUU